CGGCCCAUUAGCUAGUUGGCGGUGUAACGGACCACCAAGGCAGCGAUGGGUAGCCGGCCUGAGAGGGUGAUCGGCCACACUGGAACUGAGACACGGUCCAGACUCCUACGGGAGGCAGCAGUGGGGAAUCUUCCGCAAUGGGCGAAAGCCUGACGGAGCAACGCCGCGUGAAUGAUGAAGGCUUCGGGUUGUAAAAUUCUGUCUUCAGGGAAGAAAAAAAUGACGGUACCUGAGGAGGAAGCCCCGGCUAACUACGUGCCAG
rnacentral:rRNA from 1 species